GUCCCUGUAGCUCAGUAGGUAGAGCAUGGUGUUUGCAAUGCCAGGGUUGUGGGUUUGAUUCCCACGGGGGGCC
rfam:Salmo salar isolate Sally breed double haploid chromosome ssa24, whole genome shotgun sequence.